rnacentral:rRNA from 1 species
AGUGAACGCUGGCGGUAGGCCUAACACAUGCCAGUCGAACGGCAGCACAGUAAGAGCUUGCUCUUACGGGUGGCGAGUGGCGGACGGGUGAGGAAUACAUCGGAAUCUACUUUUUCGUGGGGGAUAACGUAGGGAAACUUACGCUAAUACCGCAUACGACCUACGGGUGAAAGCAGGGGAUCUUCGGACCUUGCGCGAUUGAAUGAGCCGAUGUCGGAUUAGCUAGUUGGCGGGGUAAAGGCCCACCAAGGCGACGAUCCGUAGCUGGUCUGAGAGGAUGAUCAGCCACACUGGAACUGAGACACGGUCCAGACUCCUACGGGAGGCAGCAGUGGGGAAUAUUGGACAAUGGGCGCAAGCCUGAUCCAGCCAUACCGCGUGGGUGAAGAAGGCCUUCGGGUUGUAAAGCCCUUUUGUUGGGAAAGAAAAGCAGCAGGUUAAUACCCCGCCGUUCUGACAGUACCCAAAGAAUAAGCACCGGCUAACUUCGUG